GACGAACGCUGGCGGCGCGCUUAACACAUGCAAGUCGAGCGAAGCGGCGGACGGGUGAGUACCACGUGAGUAACCUGCCUUAGACAUUGGGAUAGCCUCCGGAAACCGGGAUUAAUACCAACUGGUCUCAGAUGGACUCGCGUCCCAUUAGCUAGUUGGUGAGGUAACGGCCCACCAAGGCGACGAUGGCUAGCCGGCCUGGGAGGGUGAACGGCCACAUUGGAGCAGAGAGACGGUGCGAACUCUACGGGAGGCAGCAGUGGGGAAUAUUGCACGAUGGGGGGAACUCGGAUGCAGCGACGCCGCAUGAACGAAGAAGGCUGUAGAGAAGUAAAGUUCUUUUAUAUGGGAAGCGGUACCAUAAGAGAAAGCCCCGGCUAACUACGUGCCAGCAGCCGCGGUAAUAC
rnacentral:rRNA from 1 species